AUGCUAAGAGAAUUAAGAUGUCACUCAAUGAAGAAAAGAAAGAUGAGGAAACUACUACAAAACAUAUACUCAACAAAUACUUGGAAAAUGAACAAAGAAGUGAGUUAUUAAAAUGUUGGGAAAUGU